rnacentral:rRNA from 1 species
CCUACGGGAGGCAGCAGUGGGGAAUAUUGCACAAUGGGGGAAACCCUGAUGCAGCGACGCCGCGUGAGUGAAGAAGUAUUUCUGUAUGUAAAGCUCUAUCAGCAGGGAAGAAAAUGACGGUACCUGAUUAAGAAGCCCCGUCUAACUACGUGCCAGCAGCCGCGGUAAUACGUAGGGGGCAAGCGUUAUACGGAUUUACUGGGUGUAAAGGGAGCGUAUGCGGAAGCGCAAGUCUGGAGUGAAAUGCCGGGGCUUAACCCCGGAACUGCUUUGGAAACUGUGCAGCUAGAGUGGAGGAGAGGUAAGUGGAAUUCUUAGUGUAGCGGUGAAAUGCGUAGAUAUUAGGAGGAACACCAGUGGCGAAGGCGGCUUACUGGACUGUAACUGACGUUGAGGCUCGAAAGCGUGGGGAGCAAACAGGAUUAGAUACCCUUGUAGUC